ACACUUCUACAUUGUGUUUAAAAGAAGCUACACUGCAUUUAAUUAUUCUGUGUGUUGAUCUGUAUAACUGAUGGAAUAUUCUUCUUGAAAUUACAGAAGCAAAAAUCUGAUAUGGAAACUGUUAUAUUUCACACGUCCAUAUUCCACAUAGUUUUGCAACCUUUGCCAAGUCAACAUAAUGGUAAAAAUGGGGCACUUGGCACACGGCAAAUUGGAGAAUGGAAGUGGCAUCAGGUGGAGGUGUUCACGGCUCUCUCAGAAAUUGAUUGGAAAGUGAUAGCAUGGCCCCAUGACAACCACGUUGGCACACACCAAAACAUCACAAAUGCUUGAAUAAAAAGGGCCACCACUCUCGAAGCAGCGCAUGAGAGAUUGAAGUAAGUGAGUGAUAGUUGAGGAUUUACCCCUUUCAUUAGAGAAGCCACAGUGCAGCAAAGAUAAAAACACACGGCCCUUGGAUAACUAAGGAUCAACAAAAUAUAUGAAGGGAUAAAAAGCGGGAGCAGCCACUGAAGGGAAUAUUAUCCUCACUGAAAAGCUUGGCAGAGGACGUGGAGAGCAGGCCAUGAUUGAACGGAAGAGAUGGCUCAUAGCUGGCUGGGUUUUCCUUUUUAAAAAGGAAGAGACUUACAAGCUUAAAAAAGGAGGUUCUGAGGUUGGGAGGUUACACUCUGAGUCUGGACGUUGUUCUCGGGAGACAGUGGAUGUUACACAGAUUCUGGAUACUACACUCUUGGCUGGAGUUCUCUGCAGAAAAACAAUUUGGUUGGAGAGCAAGAGAGGAGAAAUGCGUUAGCUGCCACCACAAGCAAGAACUCUGGUUUGGAUUCUCUGUCUGCAUAAUGGAAUGGGGUUUAGUUUGAAUAGGUUUGGUUUGUUUAUUAAUGCUUGAACCAAGAGUGAAGUUAUUGUUCUAAACAUGUGGAAGAAUAUGUACACUUCCUUCUUUGCUGUUAACGUGUUGUGUACUGUCAUUUCCAAUUUGAAUUGAAUUUGGUUGCUUAUUUUA